UGGGGAAUAUUGGACAAUGGGGGCAACCCUGAUCCAGCCAUGCCGCGUGUGUGAAGAAGGCCUUCGGGUUGUAAAGCACUUUAAGCAGGGAAGAUGAUGACGGUACCUGCAGAAGAAGCCCCGGCUAACUCCGUGCCAGCAGCCGCGGUAAUACGGAGGGGGCUAGCGUUGUUCGGAUUUACUGGGCGUAAAGCGCGCGUAGGCGGCCUGGAUAGUUGGGAGUGAAAGCCCGGGGCUCAACCCCGGAACUGCUCUCAAAACUUCCAAGCUAGAGAUCUGGAGAGGAGGGUGGAAUUCCAAGUGUAGAGGUGAAAUUCGUAGAUAUUUGGAAGAACACCAGUGGCGAAGGCGACUCUCUGGCCAGAUACUGACGCUGAGGUGCGAAAGCGUGGGGAGCAAACAGGAUUAGAUACCCCCGUAGUCC
rnacentral:rRNA from 1 species